rnacentral:rRNA from 1 species
UACGUAGGGUGCAAGCGUUACUCGGAAUUACUGGGCGUAAAGCGUGCGCAGGCGGCUUUGCAAGCCAGAUGUGAAAUCCCCGGGCUUAACCUGGGAACUGCAUUUGUGACUGCAUGGCUAGAGUGCGGCAGAGGGGGAUGGAAUUCCGCGUGUAGCAGUGAAAUGCGUAGAUAUCUGGAGGAACACCGGUGGCGAAGGCGGCAUCCUGGACCAAUUCUGACGCUGAGGAGCGAAAGCCAGGGGAGCAAACGGG